CCAUUGAACUAAAGAAAGAAAUGGAAGGGACCCGCAGUUCAGCAAAUCGGUCGAAAGUGUGUCCAAAAGUGUGGGAGAGAGAAAGACUAUUGGUGGGUAUCCCUUCUCUCUCUUUUAGAUGUUUUGUUUACAUCAAUCAGCUGACGGUUUUGUUGAUUAUUCAGUUUAAAUUAGUUUUUGGGAUGAUUUCGGUUGUGUUCAAUUGGAAAGAGAUCUAAAAGUGUUCAGAAUGCUAAAACUCACGAUUAAUAUUCGCUUGAAACUUGAAAAAACUCAAAUAAAUCGGGGAAUCUCCGAAUCCCACUCGAAAACCUUUAAGUAUCUGGAUUUUCGGUUUCUGAGAAAUAUGGAUCUAGUGAAGGGAUAGAUUACCUUUACCUGGCCACCCGAGGGAAUUAAAAGGGUUGAAACUGUCUGAGAAGACCUCUUUCGAUAUUAACUGGACAGUUAAAAAAAAAAUCAAAGUUUUUGUGUUUCUCAAAUCAUUGUUGUCCCCAUCAACAUCAGUACUGUUUGCAGUCACGCAAAAUUGGUAAAUUUCAGACUCUUGUUACAACGAUGGUUGUAACAAGUUGCUAAAGGAUGCUCCAAUGACCCGAACAAAAAUGAGCCAAAGAGUUUCCACAGGUUUCCUUUUAAACGC